GUCACUAAUUGACCAUUAAAACUCCACUUAACAUUAAAAUACAAUAACCCUCAAUUCAUCACAAACCCUAAUUAAUCAAAGUCUCAAUCUUAUGCAACUCCUAAAAUCCCCAACUCCAAUUCUUAUAUACACAUCAAUUGACGUCAAUACACAAAUUUAAUUGUAAGUAAAUCAUCAAAAUCCUCACACUCUAUUGGCUGCCAAAAUUUGAAGGGGUCCUAUCAUGCAUAUUUUUCUUCUUUUUUCACAAUUUGUAGUUAAUUUUUUUGUAUCCUAACAUAAAAACAAGAAAAGAGAGAGAGAGAUAGCACUAACCUUGAGUGAGCAGAAUUUUCUCUUGGUUAAUCUUCAAUUUUCCUUCACUUUCUUCCCACUUUCCUUGAGUUUAAUAGCUGGCUAUGGAGGUUUAUCAAGGCUGCCAACAAUUUUGGUAAAGGAAGAUAGGUGCUUGGAAGCUUGGUGAUGGUGCUUUAAUAGUGGAAAGAAGGAAAAAUAAAGGAAAUGGAGAGGAGGUGUUAGGACGGUAGAUUUUUGCUGGAGAAGAAGAUGGUUUAUUCUUCUUUUGUUUUAGCCCCUUUUAUUUGUUUUAUGUGUAUUUGUUGAAUGGUGAUUGGUGGAUAAAUUGUAAAUGACAUCAUGUGAUGUCAAAAUUCAAAUUUUCAUCCAUUUUCUUUUCUUUUCUUUUCUA
rnacentral:misc_RNA from 1 species